CUCAAAGCUGUAAAAAGUCUCAGACUUGAAUAUAUUAAAAAUGAUGGCAUAUGUCUUCAUAAUUUGAAGUGAACAGCAAUAAGUAAUUGCUAUAUAUGAACAUCUUUCACUGAAAAACAAAUUAGAUAUAAAACAAACCAUUUUUGCCUCUAUUUCAAGAAUUUCUUUAUAUCAAAAGAAGAUGAAAUGUUGAUUUUUGUCCAUUGCCACAGAAAAUUCAAACAACCUGAAGUUUACAAGAAUCAGACCCACAGGACUCAUUUGAGAAAGAUAAACCAGGUGUGCUUAAGAAUUCUUUUAGAAUAUCCAAUAUAUUCACCUGCAAGAGUCAAACUCCUUAUCCCAAAAAAAGCUUCAAGAUGCUUCAUCAGCAAAGCAAAUUGUCAUUGACCAUCGGUGUUCUCUCCACAGUCUGGGAAGCAUGAAUAACUCACAGAUAUCUACUGUGACGCAGUUUGUGUUGUUGGGGUUUCCUGGUCCCUGGAAAAUUCAGAUCAUCUUUUUCUCAAUGAUUUUGUUGGUCUACAUCUUCACUCUGACUGGGAAUAUGGCCAUCAUCUGUGCAGUGAGGUGGGACCAUCGACUCCAUACCCCUAUGUACGUGCUCCUAGCCAACUUCUCCUUCCUAGAGAUCUGGUAUGUGACCUGCACAGUCCCCAACAUGCUGGUAAAUUUUUUCUCCAAAACUAAGACCAUAUCAUUCUCUGGAUGUUUCACUCAGUUCCACUUCUUCUUUUCCCUGGGCACAACUGAAUGCUUCUUCCUCUGUGUCAUGGCUUAUGAUCGGUACCUGGCCAUCUGCCACCCACUGCACUAUCCCUCCAUUAUGACUGGCCAGCUCUGUGGCAUCUUGGUGUCUCUUUGUUGGCUCAUUGGUUUCCUUGGACAUUCAAUUUCCAUUUUCUUCAUUUUUCAACUACCUUUCUGUGGUCCCAACAUCAUUGAUCAUUUUCUGUGUGAUGUAGACCCACUGAUGGCAUUGUCCUCUGCCCCUACUCACAUCAUAGGGCAUGUGUUCCAUUCUGUGAGCUCUCUUUUCAUCAACCUCACCAUGGUGUACAUCCUUGGGUCCUAUACCUUGGUGCUCAGAACUGUGCUUUAGGUUCCUUCUUCAGCUGGAUGGCAAAAGGCCAUCUCUACCUGUGGGUCACACUUGGUUGUUGUGUCUCUGUUCUAUGGAGCCAUAAUGCUGAUGUAUGUGAGUCCCACACCUGGCAACUCAGUUGCUAUGCAUAAGCUCAUCACACUGAUAUAUUCUGUGGUAACACCUGUCUUAAACCCCCUCAUCUACAGCCUACGCAACAAGGACAUGAAAUAUGCCCUCCAUCAUGUCUUCUGUGGAAUGAGAAUUAUCCAGAGAUCAUGAAUAGGGUUUUUUAUAACCCAAUGACUCUUAAUGCGAUUGGAAGAAUAAUCCUCUUCUUUUAACACUAACUGACUUGAUUUUAUUCAUGGUCAUCGCCAUCCUUUUGUACAAGCAAAACUCUUCAUGUAUCUGAUCAUAUUUUGACGAGCUUCUAGUUUCAGAAAUGUGCUCCAUGGGAGCAGGUUGGCCCCAAUAUAUGGUAAAAAUAACACAUAAAAAUCUUAAUAUCUUCAUCCAUGUCCCUACAAAGGACAUGAAGCCAUCAUUUUUAUGGCUGCAUAGUAUUCCAUGGUGUAUAUAUGCCACAUUUUCUUAAUCCAGUCUAUCAUUGUUGGACAUUUGGGUUGGUUCUAAGUCUUUGCUAUCGUGAAUAAUGCCGCAAUAAACAUACGUGUGCAUGUCU